rnacentral:rRNA from 1 species
CAAUAGCGUAUAUUUAAGUUGUUGCAGUUAAAAAGCUCGUAGUUGGAUUUCGGUUAAGAGCGACCGGUCCGCCGUUUGGUGUGCACUGGUUGGUUUUAACUUCCUGUAGAGGACGUGCUCUGGGUUUAACGACCUGGAUUCGGAGUCUACGUGGUUACUUUGAAAAAAUUAGAGUGUUCAAAGCGGGCUUACGCUUGAAUAUUUCAGCAUGGAAUAACACUAUAGGACUCCUGUCCUAUUUCGUUGGUCUCGGGACGGGAGUAAUGAUUAAGAGGAACAGUUGGGGGCAUUCGUAUUUCAUUGUCAGAGGUGAAAUUCUUGGAUUUAUGAAAGACGAACUUCUGCGAAAGCAUUUGCCAAGGAUGUUUNCAUUA